AGUCUUCUGAGCAUGCGCAAUCGGUGUAAACAGGAAGAAGCUGCGAAAACCAGGGAAAAUCUAGAAGACGAAUAUAUAUUCAACGGGGGAAAAAAUCAUAAUGUUCAUUGAUUACUCGUAAUUUUAUUAUUUUAGCGCACGGAUAUGUCAACGAAUAUUAUUCUGAAUUAAGUAUUUUAGCACAGCGGUACACGACGAUAGUCAGCAACGUUAUAUUAGAUAGACCUUUUCUUAUUUUUUUUUUACAGAUUGGCAACUAACUGAAGCGAGUAGCUUUCGUUUCGUUUUACUAGAAAAUAGUUUGCAAGAAUCUAAUUUGGACAGACAAGUCGAGCAAUAUUUUUUCACACCUGCGGCCUGUGAACAACGCCGGGGAUUGUCAGUAAACUAAUGUCACACCGUUCAUUUCCCCUCUCCUUUCAAGUCGUCCGGAUGGCCUGCUAACCUAUUGUCGGAGUUUCGGGUCAGACUCCCCUCGUCCAAGCACGUUUUUUUCCCUAAACCCCGUCUGUUGCUAGCUACGAUAACAGACAGUCUAUAGAAAUGGUUCAGAAAGGUAAGGCGGUGGUGGGGACGUCUCAAGUGGAGGUUGAGGCGAGCCCAAGCUCGGGGCCGUCUGAGGCUGGUUCAGAUGCCCCUGGCUCAGUGGAAGAACCGAGAACCAUCGGGGUGGAACUAUCGGGCCGCAGGAAAUUCAUCAGUGGAGUCGUGGAGGGCUUCUAUGGCCGGCCAUGGACAAUGGAACAAAGGAAAGAGCUGUUCAGGAGACAGCAGAAAUGGGGCUUGAACACAUACCUCUAUGCGCCUAAAGAUGACUACAAACACAGGAUGUUCUGGAGAGAGAUGUACUCAGUAGAAGAAGCAGAACAACUGAUGACCCUGAUUAGUGCUGCAAAGGAGUAUGGGACCGAGUUCAUCUAUGCCAUCUCCCCAGGCCUAGACAUCACCUUCUCUAACCAGAAAGAAGUGUCCACACUCAAGAGGAAACUGGACCAGGUAACUCACUUUGGCUGCAAGUCAUUUGCCUUACUGUUUGACGACAUCGACCACAACAUGUGCCCCGCCGACAAGGAAGUGUUCAGCUCCUUCGCCCAUGCCCAGGUGUCCAUCACCAAUGAGAUCUUUCAGUACCUGGGAGAGCCUGAGACCUUCCUCUUCUGCCCCACAGAGUACUGUGGAACGUUCUGUUACCCCAAUGUGGCCCAAUCUCCCUACCUGCACACAGUGGGAGAGAAGCUGCUGCCUGGUAUUGAAGUGCUGUGGACAGGUCCUAAGGUGGUAUCCAAAGACAUUACAGUGGAGUCCAUAGAGGAGGUCUCUAAGAUCCUGAAGAGAGCUCCGGUAAUCUGGGACAAUAUCCAUGCCAACGACUACGACCAGAAGCGUCUGUUCCUGGGGCCGUACAAGGGGCGCUCCACAGAGCUCAUCCCCCGCCUCAAGGGGGUUCUCACCAACCCCAACUGUGAGUUUGAGUCCAACUUCGUGGCCAUCCACACCCUGGCCACCUGGUACAAGUCCAACAUGAACGGAGUGCGCAAGGAUGUUGCCAUGACGGAUGGAGAGGACAGUACCGUGUCUAUCCAGAUCAAGCUGGAGAAUGAGGGCAGUGAUGAGGAGUUAGAGACAGACAUGUUGUACAGCCCUCAGCUGGCCCUGAAACUGGCCCUCACAGAGUGGCUGGGGGAGUUUGUAGUGCCUCACCAGUACAACAGUCGCCAGGUACCCCACAGCGGAGCUAAGAGUUCAGCUAUUGACGUGUCAUCACUAGGUGCCUCCUCCCUCUGCUCUGCUACUACAGUCACUACAGUGUUCCAACAGCCCAUCAUGACCCCCACAGGCGCCCCUGACCCCAACAACCACCCCAUGGCCAAGAGACUGCAACAACAAGAGGUGGAGGAGGUGGAUGUUGAGAAGAAGGAGUCUGAUGAAGAGCCCAUGGAGAUGGUUGUGGAGAAACCAGAUGAGACUGAUCCAGAGUCAGACCCUGUAGCGGAGGCUGCAAAUGAGACCAAGAGCAGCCUGGUCCUUAUAGACAAGAUGGCAGAGGAUCUGAAGCCCAUGGACACAGACAGGGAAGUCCUGGUUCCUGAGUCCAAGUCUCCAGAGGAGGACAUUGACAUGGCCCCCAUGCAGACAGACGAACAGCUCAAACAGGAUGUCUUUGUACCUGGUCCCAAUGAGAAGGCAUUGUACACGGCAGAGCCUCUCUCUCUGGAGGACCUGACCCUGCUAGCUGAGCUCUUCUACCUGCCCUAUGAAUACGGACCCAAAGCCCUGCACAUGCUCAAGGAGUUCAACUGGCUACGGGCCAAUAGCAGCACUGUCAGCGUCAACCGCGAGGGCAAGGAACCAGAGAAGGUUGCGGAGUGGAAGUGCCGGGCUGAGAAGUUUGAGGAGAUGUGCUGCUCGGUCAUCCAGAUGUUCACCAGGCUCUCUAAUUCAGCCAACCGCACCAUCCUCUAUGACCUCUACCCCUACAUCUGGGACAUCAAGAGCAUCACCUCCAUGGUCAAGUCCUUUGUCCAGUGGCUAGGGUGCCGUAGUCAGGCCACUGCACAGUUCCUUAGUGGAGACCAAGAGCCUUGGGCCUUUAGGGGCGGUCUAGCAGGAGAGUUCCAGAGAUUGUUGCCAAUCGACGGGGCAAAUGAUCUUUUCUUCCAGCCUCCUCCCGCACUGCCAACAUCCAAAAUCUAUUCCAUCAGGCCCUACUAUGCUAAAGAUGAGCAUGCAGUUUAUAAGAUCUGCAGAGAGAUGUACUCUGAAGGUGUGGAGGAACUGCCCUUCUCUGGAGAGGAGCCAGACCUCAUAGGCGACAGGUUAGUAGGAGGGUUCCUGAACCUGAGUCCAGACUAUGGGUUUGUCCUGGAGGACGAGGAGGGGAUCUGUGGUUACGCUCUGGGCACUGUGGACGUCAAGCCCUUUGUCAAGAAGUGUAAAAUGAGCUGGAUCCCCUCCAUGCAGGAGAAAUACAACAAGCCCGACUGCCAGAAGGACCUCUCUGAGGCUGAGAAGAUGAUGUUGAGUUUCCAUGAGGAGGAGGAGGGCCUCCCAGAGUCAUUCCUCUCCAACUUCCCGUCCCUCAUCAAAGUGGACAUACAUGCCAAGGUCACCGACCCCAGCGUGGCCAAGAGCAUGAUGGGAUGCCUGCUCUCCUCCCUAAAGGCCAAUGGUUCCAUUGGUGCGUUCUGUGAGGUGCGUCAGGCAGACAAGAGGAUGAUGGACUUCUACAGUAAGCUUGGCUGCUUCGAGGUUGCCAAGAUGGAGGGCUUCCCCAAAGACAUAAUCAUCAUGGGCCGCAGCCUUUGAGAACAACUACGAGAUCAUCAACACGGGACGCAGCUUCUGAGACAGUUGACAGCCUGGCGAACCAAGCAACCAUGGAGCUGUAUAGAAAGCUUAAGUCAGCCAGGCUAAGGAUCACUGUUACCUUUACAAAACAACCAAUACUUGAUGAUUUUAUACUUCAACCACCUGGACUAGAGGCAGCCUGUUUUUAGACCGUGUUCAGAAACAUUGCAUCUUUUACAGAUUCACUGUGCUGCCGCUAAAGGCCCAGAAACAGAAUCCGAAACUGUUAAGAGCCACAGAGGUUAUCUGUAAAGCCCUGUGUGUGUUGAUUUGAGCCAAGAUGGCAGACGGUUUCCCUCUGUCUUUGGUCUCCAGAAUGGAGGUGAUGACUGUUCCCCGUGCGGCUGCAGGAAGUAGGAGCUGGUCAGGUGCCAUCCACUCCCAUUAGCCUUUCAGACCAUUCGACAUGUAUGUCAGUAGCCCCGAGUGGGGGUCUGUCUGUGUCUCACGCAGACACAGUCAGGGGGUGUAUUGAGAUAUUACUCCAUCUGAAAUUGCAGCGUAUUCCCCAUGUAACACAUUACUUUUGUCUGGUUAAAGGUAGUGCAGUGUAUAGAGAAUAUGGAGUUAUUUGAGACUUGGUAGUAUAUUCUGACACUACACCCUAGUAUAGGCCUAGCUGACGGGGUGCUGGUUGGGGAAAAGGGGCCUUUAAAGUAUAUUACAGUUUUCUCCUGCACCACCUCUUCACAGGUGGUCCUCCUAGCUAACAGAGUGGAAAGUGGUUUAUGAUUCCACCUAUACUGUUUUCUAGUGCGUCCAUUUCACUCUUGAGUUUGAAAAAUUCUCUUUCUGGUGUGUUAGAUUCCUCAAUAGAGUUUACCUAACCAUGACAGACAUGCAGAUGAAAUCAUAUGUUUGAGUGUUCGAGGAAACUUCUGAAGAUUUAAGUAACGAGUUGUUUGCUUGAAACCCACCUGAGUAGAACCUUGAAGAGAGAGAAAGGGAUAUGUGGAAGUUGUCACUUAUGUUAUGGUUUGUCUAUUCCCUAAACCCUUUGCUUUUGGCCAUGCUUUUUUACUAGGGAUGUAACGAUUUACCCAAUACGCAUCGGUCCCCGAUUUGAAAUGUUUUAAGAUAUAAGUGCACCGGUCCAUGGACACCAAACCGAUCCAAAUGUAGCAUGCAUCGGUCAGAAAACGAUUUAAACGUUACAAAUGGCCAGUUCACCAAAAUGUUUUGCUCAUUACAUUCUUUCUACCUUCUGAAAAUACAUCUCAACUUUUGUGUCAAUGUCGAACUGCAUGUAACUGUUGACAGUCAUUGAUCUACAAGGCGUUUUGCAUGUCGAACAACCCCAGGCAAUAUCAGUAGCCUAGUCAAACUGAUACCCUUUACAGACAGACUUUACGGUAUGUUGCUUGUAAAAAUUAUGUUUUUUAUUUAUUUUUUAAACAGGCACUGUUUUUUAGGACCCAAUUCAUAGUCACAUUCUUGCCAGGAUAAGCCUUUUUUUUAUAUCUCCCAUGCACAUGCCGGCAAGUGUGGGAAUAGACGUGGGGCCAAUGUGGGUGGACAUCCUAUUUUAAUAAAUACAUUAUUAAUUCAUUUUAGGCUGGACCUAAGAAACAUAACUCAUUUUUCCCCAAAAAAUAGAAUGCCAUGUAUUGAGUUUAAUUAUGUUACUGGUCUGUGUGACCUAUAUGGCUGCAGCAUGCACGUGAAAUCAAUAUUUAUUUUGUUAAUUAAACAGACAAAACAUACUUGGGCUACAUUAUUGCAUGCUAAAUGUUUCUGAUCAGUGAUGGAUGAGCAAACCGAUCGAUGAGCUAUACCACCUCCACUUAUUUUCCCAGACAGAGAAUUAACAAAAUAUACAGACAAGAGAUUCAGUGAAACAAAAUCACAUUGAUUAAGACAAGUCAGAGGCUUUUGGUCAGGAGUAAGCCUAGGCUACUAAGUGACUGCCAGUGAAGAGCAAAAUAAUCCACUUGUUAAUCUACAUAACAUGCUGGCAAAAUGUUCUGAUCACUGCUAAUAAAUGUGCCAACCAGACAAGAUGAUCAUGAGCAGCACUCACCUCAACUUAGCUAACAUUACCACAGCCUAAUUGUAGUCUUACCAAUGUCCAAACAGAGGUUCGGUGAAAAGAAAAAUCUGACAUUGAUUUAUCAAGACCCCAUGCUUGUCUGAAAGCGGUGCUGAAAUAGUUGACCACACGCAGGAAGGCCACUGCGUCAAUCAAAUGUAUUUUAACAGUUGGAUGACUGGGAGUUUCAGUAAGCAACUAUUUGAUGCCUUCAAUUGGAUUGGCCUACUUUAUUCCAAUAUUUUUGUCAUUCGGUGAUGUCUAUUCCAACGAUAAUUCUUUAUGGAUCCAUCCAGUUAUAUUUAAGAAAAGUGUAUAUUAUGGUGGGCUACGUGAAGAUGGGUGAAGUGACAUGUCUCGCCAAGUUUAGAACUGCCAGGAUGAUAGUAGUAACUGGUGGUGCCUAGCAACCAUCAAGACCUUAAGAGCGUGCCAAUGCCGCCUCAGCAUUACGGCUACAUUUCAUACUAAGCCGUAGGCAGAACUUUACCGCAACCAAGUCGCCAGCAAUACCUUUCAUAUAUAAAGAGAAGUCGGCAAAAUGUUAUCGGGAUGCUAAAUAAAAAAAGAGGAUAAGAUCUUAGUUUGGAAGGUGUAUGAGAAGGGUGCAAUUGCGGCCUGCAAUUCGUGGUGUUCCUGUAUGUGAAUAUUCCUGCAUCUGCAUAUUCAGGAUAAGAAUUGCCAAAUUCAGGCUGUAUUCACACACUGUUGGUCAAACUGAGCACAGUGCCCAGUUUUGCACGCUGACCAACACAAGGUAGGCGACCUGUUCCUGCUCUUACACAUCUGUGCGGCACCUUCAGCAUGCAAAUGCUAAAAUGGCUUGCAUGAUAUCAAGCUUUAUUAGUUGAGUGACAACCUAUGUAAUUUGCUACGUUAUUGCUAUCUAUGUGAUGUUGAAAAUUGUGUUUUACCAGAAUAAAAGUAAGCUACCAGAGACAACUCAUCUGGCUAUACCUGCUGAACAGGGCUUACACUACAUUGUUUUGAUUGUUCAGGUUCACCAUCAGCAAUAGUUUUGAUAGUUUUGCUUUAAACAAUCUGUGUAGAUGGUCAUUUUUAGAUAUACAGGGUAAAUUUGAUAAUUUCAUGACAAGGAUACCAAUCACUUUUGCGAGGCGCACUGCAUGGUCCACACGAGGAUAUCACUCCAUAACUUCCAAACGGUCAAAACCAUUCAAUUUAGAAAAAAAGUUGUGCUAUAUAUUCAUUAGGUCAUAACUAAUUUGUGAACAAUAAAUAUUGAUACUUUGCUAGCUCAAACACUUAAUCUGCACAAUUUCACAAUUUUGAUUUCAGAAUCAGUGGGGGGACAAAAAACUGAUAAUGGGGUGGUAGAUGCCGAGCCUCCCUUAUGGCUCAUCUCAGGUGCCUGCAUAGUACAUACACCGCAUAGAAAUAAAUAAUUUAGACGAACACACACAUACAGAGGCCCAGCUCAUUAGCUCCAUCAACAGCAGAUUUUAAUUUAGAAUGGAAAAUGAAUGUGUUUAUGCAACAAAUGUUAGUGCAUCGCCUCGACCGAAUCGCAUCGAUUCCUUUUCUAAUCAAACCUAAUGGCACAGAAUUCUUUCAAACUAAAACGUAUCGUUCCUGUAUCGUAUCUAUACGUAUAGAAUCGUCUUAAAAAGGAAAGAUGCGCAUCCCUAUUUUUUACAGUAUGUUUAUAUUGCUUUUGUAUUGCCUUUUGGUUCAUUGCCUUUCUAUAUGAUUUUUCUACCUGUGGAUAUCUCCAAUGGGCCUAUUGCCCUGUACUGUAGUUCACAGGUGAUUAUCAUGCACUCUUAUCUACUGUCAAUCCACCUGACAUAUACAUAAGGGGACUUGAAUGGGUGGGUUCAUUUUAGCUUACUUGGUGCCCAGGGUGGGCUGAGUUUUGACAUUUAAUUACCAUGGAAUAGUCUACCUUCCGGUACCCCAGGCAAGCUAAAAAUGAAUGCACCUUGCCUCAACGGUGGGCCAUCUGCUCUGAAAGGUCUCUAGAUUCAGUUACAAAUCCAGUGCUCUUGCUCUUAAGCCAAGAGAGAUGAGCCAAAUCUUAAUGUUAGAAAAUGUGAAAAUAGGACUGAACAGUUUGCAGAUGCUUUAGCACUCCCACUAUAAUACAGCUGCUCUAUUUCCCAACUUCCCAUGAUGUGCUGAGGAAAGCUAACCACUAACCAGAAUCUUAUCCAGGACAGCAUGGUCAGUUAGAAAUAUACUGUGUAGAACAGACUCGAUUCAAUGCAAAGCAGAAUGAGGAACCAUGUAGGCUCUGUACGCCACAUUUCUAUCUGCAAUGUCCUACAACAUUGCACCCACUUGAAUACCAUUGCUGCCCUUCUCCCAGUUAGGGUUGUUAAGCUAGAGUGACAUUGACUGACUACCUUCACUGGCCCUGGCUGUGUCAAGAGAAAUGGAGGGAGUGAUAUACUAUACCUAGGCCUUUUGUAUCUACGUAUGUGUUAAGUGUUUUAUACUCAGUGUUUCUCAUUUUGCUGUUUUUGUUCAUGUAAAGCACUUUGAUCCUAACAUGAAGCCUUCUUUUUGUAACAGGAGGAUCAGCUGUAGCUCAUGUUGUUGCUUUGUCUGCCAAUGUGAUGUUUUGAUACUGCUACAUACAGUACAUCUGUGCUAUGCAUGAUGCUUAUUAGAUUUGUUUGGUUUAGCAAACAGAAGAAAAAAUCACGUCCAUAUUACAGUCUAGUUCGCCGGGGGGUUGAUAGCUUGAUGCCCUUCCUCAACCUACGACGUCACCGCAAACAAGAGACAAGUCAAUUAAAAGGAAUAGUGGGAAAAGAUGACAAGUAUUUUUGUUAACAAAAAUGAGCUUUCUGAUUUGUCAUUUCUCAAUGAGCACAAGCCUGAAUCAGUUCAAACAUUUUAAACACUAGUUAGAUUGAAGCAUAUUAGUCUGCUCUAUUCAACACGUCACCCUCCGUACUAUAUUAUUCUGUGGUGGUCAAGUAAAUUUCCCAGAGAGAAUAGGAACAUGUAUCCUCCCAGUUCUCCACUGAUAUUGAAGGAUUCACUUUUCCAUAAUGUCUGACAUUUUAUCAUUGCUUGUGCUAUUGUGACGACUGCUUUUUUUUCUGCCUCCUGAUUUUGAAAGUAUAGCUGCAGUUGGAAGGGAUUAUUGUAGGCCUGCAUUUGAUGAUACAUACAUAGGAACAUAGUUUUUUUUUUGAGGGGGAUGUUUACUGAAACUAAUUUCUGUAAAAUGUUUAUGUAAAAUAAAUGGUUUAUAAUAUUAAUAAACAAUUUUAAAAAGUG